CGCUAUGUGAAUUUUGAUAAUGACCAAGAUGCAAAAGGUGUAAACACAGUUGAUGAACAGAGUUGUUUUGCAGAUGAAAUUAAAAAGACAGGCAGAUCGCAGACGAAAGCCUUUGGAGGACACGAUCCAAACAGCGUCGUUAGAGUAGGGGCGGUAAAAAGCAUAACGCUCCAGGGAAUGGAGCAUAUGAAGAAGGAAAAUCGGGAACUGAGGGACAGAGAGAUGUGUAAAAUAUGUCAAGCUAAUAAGGUUGUCAUCGCGUUCGUUCCUUGUGGCCAUCUUGUUUGUUGUGAGAGAUGUGCUGACAGAAUCUCGGAGUGUGUGAGCUGCAAGAGUGUCAUCAACAAGCGUGUUCCUGUUAGAAAUGAAUAGACAGAUGCCUGGUGUAGGGUAAUCCUAGGAAAGCUACUUGUUAGGAUCGUAUGAAAAACCAUUUGUUGGAGGAAAAUAAAAUAUCGUCCUUAUAGAUGAUACUAUUCGAAACUGCAAAAAUAUUCUGGAAAAAUGAUAAUAAAAAUACAUCAAAACAA